rnacentral:rRNA from 1 species
UACGAAGGGGGCUAGCGUUGCUCGGAACCACUGGGCGUAAAGCGCACGUAGGCGGCUUUUUAAGUCAGGGGUGAAAUCCUGGAGCUCAACUCCAGAACUGCCUUUGAUACUGAGAAGCUUGAGUCCGGGAGAGGUGAGUGGAACUGCGAGUGUAGAGGUGAAAUUCGUAGAUAUUCGCAAGAACACCAGUGGCGAAGGCGGCUCACUGGCCCGGUACUGACGCUGAGGUGCGAAAGCGUGGGGAGCAAACAGG